GACGAACGCUGGCGGCGUGCUUAACACAUGCGAGUCGAACGGAAAGGCCCUGCUUUUGUGGGGUGCUCGAGUGGCGAACGGGGGAGUGACACGUGAGUAACCUGUCCUUGUCUUUGGGAUAACUUCAGGAAACAGGGGCUAAUACCGGAUAGGAGCUCCUGCUGCAUGGUGGGGGUUGGAAAGUUUCGGCGGUGGUGGAUGGACUAGAGGCUUAUCCGCUUGUUGGUGGGGUAGUGGCUUACCAAGGCUUCGACGGGUAGCCGGCCUGAGAGGGGGAACGGCCACAUUGGGACUGAGAUACGGCCCAGUCUCCUACGGGAGGCAGCAGGGGGGAAUCUUGCACAAUGGGCGGAAGCCAGAUGCAGCAGCGCCGCGUGCGGGAUACCGUCCUACGGGUUGUAAACAGCUGUGUACGGUGACGAAGCGUGAGUGACGGUAAUGGGUAAAAAAGCACCGGCUAACUACGUG
rnacentral:rRNA from 1 species